rnacentral:rRNA from 1 species
CGCGGCCUAUCAGCUUGUUGGUGAGGUAACGGCUCACCAAGGCAUCGACGGGUAGCUGGUCUGAGAGGACGAUCAGCCACACUGGGACUGAGACACGGCCCAGACUCCUACGGGAGGCAGCAGUAGGGAAUCUUGCGCAAUGGGCGAAAGCCUGACGCAGCAACGCCGCGUGGGGGAUGAAUGCCUUCGGGUUGUAAACCCCUUUCAGCAGGGACGAAAAUGACGGUACCUGCAGAAGAAGCUCCGGCCAACUACGUGCCAGCAGCCGCGGUAAUACGUAGGGAGCGAGCGUUGUCCGGAAUUAUUGGGCGUAAAGAGCUCGUAGGCGGUUCAGUAAGUCGGGUGUGAAAACUCAAGGCUCAACCUUGAGACGCCACUCGAUACUGCUGUGACUUGAGUCCGGUAGAGGAGUGUGGAAUUCCUGGUGUAGCGGUGAAAUGCGCAGAUAUCAGGAGGAACACCAGCGGCGAAGGCGGCACUCUGGGCCGGUACUGACGCUGAGGAGCGAAAGCAUGGGGAGCAAACUGGAUUAGAUACCCUGGUAGUCCAUGCCGUAAACGUUGGGCGCUAGGUAUGGGAUCAUAUCAACGGAUUCCGUGCCGUAGCUAACGCAUUAAGUGCCCCGCCUGGGGAGUACGG